AGCAGCAGUGGGGAUAUUGCACAAUGGGGGAAACCCUGAUGCAGCGACGCAGCGUGCGGGAUGACGGCCUUCGGGUUGUAAACCGCUUUCAGCAGGGAAGAAGCGAAAGUGACGGUACCUGCAGAAGAAGUACCGGCUAACUACGUGCCAGCAGCCGCGGUAAUACGUAGGGUACGAGCGUUGUCCGGAAUUAUUGGGCGUAAAGAGCUCGUAGGUGGUUGGUCACGUCUGCUGUGGAAACGCAACGCUUAACGUUGCGCGGGCAGUGGGUACGGGCUGACUAGAGUGCAGUAGGGGAGUCUGGAAUUCCUGGUGUAGCGGUGAAAUGCGCAGAUAUCAGGAGGAACACCGGUGGCGAAGGCGGGACUCUGGGCUGUAACUGACACUGAGGAGCGAAAGCAUGGGGAGCGAACAGGAUUAGAUACCCUGGUAGUCCAUGCCGUAAACGUUGGGCACUAGGUGUGGGGGACAUUCCACGUUCUCCGCGCCGUAGCUAACGCAUUAAGUGCCCCGCCUGGGGAGUACGGUCGCAAGGCUAAAACUCAAAGGAAUUGACGGGGCCCCCG
rnacentral:rRNA from 1 species